AGAGUUUGAUCAUGGCUCAGAUUGAACGCUGGCGGCAGGCCUAACACAUGCAAGUCGAGCGAGAAAGCACUUCGGUGAGUACAGCGGCGGACGGGUGAGUAACGCGUAGGAAUCUACCCAGUAGUGGGGGACAACAUGGUGAAAACCAUGCUAAUACCGCAUACGCCCUACGGGGGAAAGCGGGGGACCUUCGGGCCUCGCGCUACUGGAUGAGCCUGCGUCUGAUUAGCUAGUUGGUGGGGUAAAAGCCUACCAAGGCAGCGAUCAGUAGCUGGUCUGAGAGGAUGAGCAGCCACACUGGGACUGAGACACGGCCCAGACUCCUACGGGAGGCAGCAGUGGGGAAUUUUCCGCAAUGGGCGAAAGCCUGACGGAGCAAUACCGCGUGAGGGAGGAAGGCCUUUGGGUUGUAAACCUCUUUUCUCAGGGAAGAAGAACUGACGGUACCUGAGGAAUAAGCAUCGGCUAACUCCGUGCCAGCAGCCGCGGUAAUACGGAGGAUGCAAGCGUUAUCCGGAAUCAUUGGGCGUAAAGCGUCCGCAGGUGGUUUUUCAAGUCUGCUGUUAAAGACUGGAGCUCAACUCCGGAAAGGCAGUGGAAACUGAGAAACUAGAGUUCGGUAGGGGUAGCGGGAAUUCCCAGUGUAGCGGUGAAAUGCGUAGAUAUUGGGAAGAACAUCGGUGGCGAAGGCGCGCUACUGGACCGAGACUGACACUCAGGGACGAAAGCUAGGGGAGCGAAAGGGAUUAGAUACCCCUGUAGUCCUAGCUGUAAACGAUGGAAACUAGGUGUGGCUUGUAUCGACCCGAGCCGUGCCGUAGCUAACGCGUUAAGUUUCCCGCCUGGGGAGUACGCACGCAAGUGUGAAACUCAAAGGAAUUGACGGGGGCCCGCACAAGCGGUGGAGUAUGUGGUUUAAUUCGAUGCAACGCGAAGAACCUUACCAGGGCUUGACAUGUCGCGAAUCUCCUUGAAAGGGGAGAGUGCCUUCGGGAGCGCGAACACAGGUGGUGCAUGGCUGUCGUCAGCUCGUGUCGUGAGAUGUUGGGUUAAGUCCCGCAACGAGCGCAACCCUCGUUUUUAGUUGCCAGCAUUAAGGUGGGCACUUUAGAGAGACUGCCGGUGACAAACCGGAGGAAGGUGGGGAUGACGUCAAGUCAGCAUGCCCCUUACGCCCUGGGCUACACACGUACUACAAUGGUUGGGACAAAGGGCAGCGACCCCGCGAGGGAAAGCGAAUCUCAUCAAACCCAGCCUCAGUUCAGAUUGCAGGCUGCAACUCGCCUGCAUGAAGGAGGAAUCGCUAGUAAUCGCAGGUCAGCAUACUGCGGUGAAUUCGUUCCCGGGCCUUGUACACACCGCCCGUCACACCAUGGAAGCUGGUCACGCCCGAAGUAGUUACCCUAAUC
rnacentral:rRNA from 1 species